GGCGCAGCGCGGCCCCCGGGCUGUCUGCUGGCACGGGACGCCCGCUGGGCACUGCAGCUCCCGGCAGGAACGCGCCACCUGUUCGCACCGCGGGCCCCAGAAAGGCUGGGGGUAAUUUCAGCAUUUCCCAGAAGCCCCCGUUCCUUCACCGAAAGCCACAUCCUCUUUUCCACCUCACUCCCCUCUUCUCCUGGGGACCCAGACUCUGGAUAUGACCCAUAGGGGCCACUUACCGGGAUGCAGUGGCAAGCAAAGGCAGUCGCGAGUGUGUGCUGCAUGACAGACACCUGGGCGACACUCGUUGAUGUCUGCCUCACAGCGCAGACCAGUGUAUCCUGGAGGGCAGCUGCAGCGGAAGCCACCUACCAGAUCCA